CAUUUGAAUGACAAACAGCCAGUGUGCAUUGUCAGCACGUGGCUAUCAUUAUCAUCAUUGGAAAUGAUGCUCCAGUGUUUUGUUAAGUUUUCACAUGAUGGGCUCAUGGUAGUGCCAUAUACAUUCAUUCCUUCAUGUCCUCAUGAAUAAACUGUUGCAAGUCAGCGCUGCGUGCGUGUCGCUCUCUCGUGUCCCUGUCUUUGUUGCGCUGUGGUUUUUCCCAAUGAAUCACCAAGAUGCGCAAACUGAACCAAGUGGAUAGUGCACAACAUUUACGCUUAUGUCUGUCUGCAAGCUGAAAGAUGACAGGAGCCUGAUGACGUCAAACAAGUCCGAAGUCAAACAGGGCAAAGUUUGUCACUGGACAUCGACGGUCAUGUGAAGUUGUGAUUCAAAGAGUUAUUUGAAGGCAGUGCCAGGAACAACUGCAGCUCUUGUGCAGCAGCUUGUGGAAAAAGGCCACGUAGACAAGCAUUUAAGCCCAAAGACUGCUUCGGACCAGGAGGUGCGACUACAGAAGAACCACUGGAUUGCUCCGACCAUCGUAGCCAAUGCACCGCAACUGCCUGAUGACGAAAUCGAAGAGGAGGCAGCUGGCGAUAACGUGGUGUCUGAACACGCAGGCUCUGAGAAAAUUGUACACGACAUCAUAACAGGACGGAGGCUCAUGCUGUUGAUUGAUUUCAAUCACUGGAUAGACUGUACCCUCAUGGCCAAGAUCGAAAAGUCCUAGAACCACUCUACAUAUCAGCGAGCGAGACAGCAACUUCCAAUAUUUGUGCGCAGGGCUAUCCCGUUCAGGAGUAAAAAAAAUUUGUGCCAAAGAUUUCUGGCAGCCUCAACCAAUGGCCCGCCGAAGACAGCGGUGCCCUAAUACCCAGGCAAAGCCAGUGGAGGCCUACCAUACGCCAUCCUUCAAACCAGUGUCACUGGGCCCAUCGUUGCAGGCGACAGCUGCCGAACUGUUGGUGCCAGCAACAACACAGUGACAUCAACUACACCGCUGGAAUCGCGCAUGCCGUCGAGGUUAGCCGCUACGGCAGAUGCAGCCGCGAUGGAAGAUGAGUGCGCUCUCUACCUGCGGGAGCUGUGGUUGACCAUACCCGUAGCCACAGCCUGCUACUGGGGGCCCCGCUCGUCCAUGAGGAGCACGCCACGGGCAUUUCCUUUGCCGCAGCUGUUUGCACUCGACUGUUCGAAUAGUAUAUGAAUUAGAUAUCGCUUUGAUUUUCAUCCUGUAAUCCGUCUCGUUUCAUAUAUCUUUCUUUGUUACGUUAGCGAAUAAAUGUGUGUG